UAACACAUGCAAGUCGAGGGGCAGCACGUUUUUAGCUUGCUAAGGCCGAUGGCGACCGGCGCACGGGUGAGUAACACGUAUCCAACCUGCCGUCUACUCUUGGACAGCCUUCUGAAAGGAAGAUUAAUACAAGAUGGCAUCAUGAGUCCGCAUGUUCACAUGAUUAAAGGUAUUCCGGUAGACGAUGGGGAUGCGUUCCAUUAGAUAGUAGGCGGGGUAACGGCCCACCUAGUCUUCGAUGGAUAGGGGUUCUGAGAGGAAGGUCCCCCACAUUGGAACUGAGACACGGUCCAAACUCCUACGGGAGGCAGCAGUGAGGAAUAUUGGUCAAUGGGCGAGAGCCUGAACCAGCCAAGUAGCGUGAAGGAUGACUGCCCUAUGGGUUGUAAACUUCUUUUAUAAAGGAAUAAAGUCGGGUAUGGAUACCCGUUUGCAUGUACUUUAUGAAUAAGGAUCGGCUAACUCCGUGCCAGCAGCCGCGGUAAUACGGAGGAUCCGAGCGUUAUCCGGAUUUAUUGGGUUUAAAGGGAGCGUAGAUGGAUGUUUAAGUCAGUUGUGAAAGUUUGCGGCUCAACCGUAAAAUUGCAGUUGAUACUGGAUAUCUUGAGUGCAGUUGAGGCAGGCGGAAUUCGUGGUGUAGCGGUGAAAUGCUUAGAUAUCACGAAGAACUCCGAUUGCGAAGGCAGCCUGCUAAGCUGCAACUGACAUUGAGGCUCGAAAGUGUGGGUAUCAAACAGGAUUAGAUACCCUGGUAGUCCACACGGUAAACGAUGAAUACUCGCUGUUUGCGAUAUACUGCAAGCGGCCAAGCGAAAGCGUUAAGUAUUCCACCUGGGGAGUACGCCGGCAACGGUGAAACUCAAAGGAAUUGACGGGGGCCCGCACAAGCGGAGGAACAUGUGGUUUAAUUCGAUGAUACGCGAGGAACCUUACCCGGGCUUAAAUUGCAGAUGAAUUACGGUGAAAGCCGUAAGCCGCAAGGCAUCUGUGAAGGUGCUGCAUGGUUGUCGUCAGCUCGUGCCGUGAGGUGUCGGCUUAAGUGCCAUAACGAGCGCAACCCUUGUUGUCAGUUACUAACAGGUUCCGCUGAGGACUCUGACAAGACUGCCAUCGUAAGAUGUGAGGAAGGUGGGGAUGACGUCAAAUCAGCACGGCCCUUACGUCCGGGGCUACACACGUGUUACAAUGGGGGGUACAGAGGGCCGCUACCACGCGAGUGGAUGCCAAUCCCCAAAACCUCUCUCAGUUCGGACUGGAGUCUGCAACCCGACUCCUCGAAGCUGGAUUCGCUAGUAAUCGCGCAUCAGCCACGGCGCGGUGAAUACGUUCCCGGGCCUUGUACACACCGCCCGUCAAGCCAUGGGAGCCGGGGGUACCUGAAGUGCGUAACCGCGAGGAGCGCCCUAGGGUAAAACUGGUGACUGGGGCUAAGUC
rnacentral:rRNA from 1 species